AACGAACGCUGGCGGCAUGCCUAACACAUGCAAGUCGAACGAGACCUUCGGUUCUCGUGGCGCAAGGGUGCGUAACGCGUGGGAACCUGCCCUUAGGUUCGGAAUCACUCCCCGAAAGGGGUGCUAAUACCGGAUAAUGUCUUCGGACCAAAGAUUUAUCGCCUUUGGAUGGGCCCGCGUUGGAUUAGCGCGUUGGUAGGGUAAAAGCCUACCAAGGAGAAGAUCCAUAGCUGGUCUGAGAGGAUGCACAGCCACACUGGGACUGAGACACGGCACAGACUCCUACGGGAGGCAGCAGGGGGGAAUAUUGGACAAUGGGCGAAAGCCUGAUCCAGCAAUGCCGCGUGAGUGAUGAAGGCCUGAGGGUUGUAAAGCUCUUUUACCAGGGAUGAUAAUGACAGUACCGGGAGAAUAAGCGCCGGCUAACUCCGUG
rnacentral:rRNA from 1 species